CUAUCUCAGACUAGCCAUGCACGUCUAAGUACAAACUAAAUGAUGGUGAAACUGCAAAUGGCUCAUUACAACGGUUAUGAUGUACCCGGGAGUUCCGAUGGAUAUUUCCAGUAACACUAGAACUAAUACAUGUCCCUGCGUUUAUCAGUUUCGCACAGUCCGUCGCUGAGUCAUGGUAAACAGUUGAUCGACUCGACGUCCCGGAACAGUUUCCGCCCCAUCAGCUUCGAUGGUUGGGUAUUGGCCUACCAUUGCAACAACGGGUAACGAGGAAUUAGGGUUUGAUUUCGGAGAGGGAGCCUGAGAAACGGCUACCACAUCUACGGAUGGCAGCAGGCGCGCAAAUUACCCAAUGCAGACACUGUGAGGUAGUGACGAGAAAUAAUAAAGCGGGACUUCUGUUUCGCUAUUAUAAUGAGGAAUAACCAAAGGUCAUUCCGAUUAGCAACUGAUGGGAAAGUCUGGUGCCAGCAGCCGCGGUAAUACCAGCGUCAGUAGCA
rnacentral:rRNA from 1 species